GGCAGCAUCUCUUUUGGAGACUGCUUCUUUGUGGAGACUGGGUGACUAGCCUCUCUAUUUUCCAGCCAGGCUGAAGGCAUUGACAUUGCUCAAACACCCAGGCUCUGAGGUCCAGUACACAGCAAAGACAGAUCUUGUCUCAACUUGGAUGGUGUUCUGACUAGACCAACCUAGAAGACUUUGUGUAGGUCAGGACUGAAUCUCAUCAGGCUUUACCCGGGUACAACAGUAGAUAAUCAAAUAUGAAGACUAAUGUACUUGAACAUACUUAGUUACUGCAAUUCUUGUGUGCAGGGGUCAGAAACAGGACCAGAAGCUGACUAAAUGGAGACUCUAAAGUGUGUUUAAUACAGUUUUGAUUGCUGUAUCAAAGUCUGCAUGGAGUUAGAAACACAGAUCAGAUACUUAAUCAAUUUAAAUCACCUUACAGCUUUUGUGUUAGUCUGUCUGUUGGCAGUGUACCUGUUCUAAUGUAUUUUGUUUUUCCUGGCUAAAUAACUUGGAAAAAAAAAAACAAAAAAAAAUCUGUGUAACACUAUAGUGCUCACAAUUGAAGUAAAGCUUUAAGUGGUUGUGAAAUGAUUUGUGAACUUGAGACACUUACCUUCAAGCCAGCUGACACCUGCACGUGCAGGUUCUUGUGCAGCUUCUUCCAUUACCAUGCUAAAUCCUGCAUCUGGCAGCCUCUGUGGCAGCUGAGCUCCCCUCCUCACUGAGAGCACUGAGCAGGGACACCAAGGGCAAGCUGGCAUGCUGGUUGGCACAGCAGGCAUAAAUGUGUGCUUUAGGGAGCUCCUGCUUACUGUGUGCAUGCAAGGCUUGUUAUCCCCUGCUGAAAUGGUAAUUAUUCUCAGGUUGACCUAUAGAGAACAAUACAACUGUGAUGAUACCGCUGUGUUCAGGUGACAGAAUUAUGCAUAGCAAGGGAUUAUGAAGCUUGCCAUGCUUAUGUAAGAAACAAUUACAGCGAGGACUUCAAGGUAGCAAGUGACUUCCAAAGCAAAUAAUAGAAUAGCUAAAGGUGAAAUGAACUUCUUGCAGGUC